rnacentral:tRNA from 2 species
GCCUCGGUAGCUCAGCCUGGUAGAGCGCUUCCUUGGUAAGGAAGAGGUCGCGGGUUCGGAUCCCGCCCGAGGCU